CGGGAAAUUUUUGAGAAAAUAUGGGAAUUUUGUUCAAAACUAAAUAUCGAAAAAUUACAAAAAUCGGAAACAAGUAUAAUUUUUGGGGUCAUUAAUGCAGAUGCAUCUUAUACCCAAAUUUUAGAUACGGUGCUUCUAAUCACGAAAUUGGUUAUCUGGAAAACUAGAAAUAUUGCAAAAUAUCAAAAGAAAGGGAUAAGUAAAUCGGUGAUUUUAAAUAUGAUAAAACAUGAAAUGCAAUUUUUGUUCAAAUGUCUUAAACCAAAUACGAAAAACGAAGCCUUUUCUACAAUGUGUGACAUUUUUGUAUAUAAAUAUAUAUUUUGCGUGGUCAGGUCAGUGCAGUGACCUCUUUGAUACUGAUUGAAUAAUAAUAUGUACACUGCUCUCAACUCCCUGCAUGCAAUUUCUAUUGUGUAUGUAAUUUAUGUAUAUCAUCUAAUAGACCACUUUCGAGUUCAUCCGUCACCGGCAAAAACUCGUCAAUUAUGCACGCCUUUAUGACGUCAUUUACCAGAUAGAGGGGGUCGCCUGUAUCCCUGCACUAUUUACGUUCAUCAAGCGUCUUAGUGAUCGUCUUUGUGCAGGAUAAACUAGAAAUAAUGGUUGCUCUGUAGG
rnacentral:lncRNA from 1 species